CGCUCCCAGGGCUUCUGACCAUCAGGACCGGGGCAGACCCAGAGCCUAUCUCUAUGGAGCCUUGAGCGGGGACCAGCACAGUUGAGAAAGCAGCAACACUGCUUCCUUUGUCAACUGCAUCCAUUCCAAGACAAAGAAUGCCUGGACUGUGAGAGAAUCCUACACAGAGAUGACGAUGGGAGAAGAGGGACCUUUUUUCUUGUUUCCAACACCCACAUCAAUAGGCCUCUUUUCCCAUUUUAAAGUGCCCGACAUAAAGAACGUUCCACUUUGGUCAGGUGGGCUGCAGAGAAUUGAUUGGAAUAUUCAUCUGCAAAACUCGGUUUGGACACCUUAUCGGCUUUUCAUUCCUCCAGAUACAGCCUGCCUUCUGGUGCCUGAGAUUUCCUCCUCACGUCAC